rnacentral:rRNA from 1 species
AUUGAACGCUGGCGGCAUGCCUUACACAUGCAAGUCGAACGGCAGCACGGGAGCAAUCCUGGUGGCGAGUGGCGAACGGGUGAGCAAAGUAUCGGAACGUGCCCAGUCGUGGGGGAUAACGUAGCGAAAGUUACGCUAAUACCGCACACGAUCUAUGGAUGAAAGCGGGGGAUCGCAAGACCUCGCGCGAUUGGAGCGGCCGAUAUCGGAUUAGGUAGUUGGUGGGGUAAAGGCUCACCAAGCCGACGAUCUGUAGCUGGUCAGAGAGGACGACCAGCCACACUGGGACUGAGACACGGCCCAGACUCCUACGGGAGGCAGCAGUGGGGAAUUUUGGACAAUGGGCGAAAGCCUGAUCCAGCAAUGCCGCGUGCAGGAUGAAGGCCUUCGGGUUGUAAACUGCUUUUGUACGGAACGAAACGGUGAGCUCUAAUACAGUUUGCUAAUGACGGUACCGUAAGAAUAAGCACCGGCUAACUACGUGCCAGCCGCCGCCGUAA